rnacentral:lncRNA from 1 species
CCCGGUUAAAGACUCUGAAGUCGUUAAAGCUCCAAAAAAUCAAUCUGAACAACCUCAAAUCAAAACCUCUGUUCCCUUAACACCAGUACCAUAGAAGAAAUCAUCUCAAGUCCACAAUAAGAAAAUGUAUUAACUCUGUCUUUUGAACCCUCUUUAGAAAUUCCAGAACCCCUAAAUAAGUCUGUCCCUAUUGAAACAUCCUCAACAUCGAAAUUUCUGCUGAAUCAACCUUGGUAAGGAUCUAAAUCAAAGGUUUGGUUUAGCAUUGAACAAGAAAUUUCUCAAUCCAAAAUUCCUCCUUCCCCAAAAGAAUUAAAUUUACCUAAAAAC